GGGAUGUCUUCAAUGUGGUUUCUCGUUUCCUUUUUUCCAAAAGGACCUCUGGUUGAUGCUGAUUUCUGACUUUCGGACAUAAAAGGAGCUGAAGAUCAGGCCACGCAGAAGAUACGAUGUUCCUUUUGCUUCCAGUGGGCAUUUCACAACUUGGACCAGAGCGAGGGACGCAGAGUUCCAAGGACUUCUGUUUUUUCCAGGUAGAUGGGAAAUUGCAGACCUGAACAGUGAAGCAGUUUGCAUGUGAUUGUGCAGCUUGGAGAGUGAAAGAGUCCAGGUAAUUUGGCAGCUAAUAGACAAGAUUAAACAGCACUGUGCCAACUGGUUUAUCAGAGAAGUGAACACUGGGAGAGGGAGUUGGAGCAAAAAUGGAGGACGAGAGAGUGGAGAAAACUCCUGAAUCAAAGAUUCUCCGGGUGGAAAGAUUUAUAGAAAUUGUCCAGAUUAAUUAACCUCUUCCCUGCUGAGACAGUCCUGCAUUAUUUUUCUACCAGAUAAUCAACCUUAACUUAAUCCCUUAUCAUGUGGUCCAUUUUAUUUGUAGGCUACUGUCACUGUUCAAGACAACUUCUUCAUCUGGUCUAAAAAAUUGAUUUUUAAAAAUUGCCAUCUACUGGACCAGUCAAGGUCUCUGGAGUUAACAAGAUGAUUAUAAAUAUCUUUUUG
rnacentral:lncRNA from 1 species